rnacentral:rRNA from 1 species
GAUGAACGCUGGCGGCGUGCCUAGUACAUGCAAGUCGAACGCUGGAGAUCUAGCUUGCUAGCUCGAAGGAGUGGCGAACGGGUGAGUAAUACAUAAGCAACCUACCCACGAAGACUGGGAUAAUCUCUGGAAACGGGGACUAAUACCGGAUAGGUAAUCGGAAGGCAUCUUCUGGUUAUUAAAGGUUAAAAACACUGGUGGAUGGGCUUAUGGCGCAUUAGUUAGUUGGUGAGGUAACGGCCCACCAAGACGAUGAUGCGUAGCCGGCCUGAGAGGGUGAACGGCCACAUUGGGACUGAGACACGGCCCAGACUCCUACGGGAGGCAGCAGUAGGGAAUUUUCGGCAAUGGGGGCAACCCUGACCGAGCAACGCCGCGUGAGUGAAGACGGCCUUCGGGUUGUAAAGCUCUGUUGUAAGGGAAGAACGGUAGAUAGAGAAUAUCUAAGUGACGGUACCUUACCAGAAAGCCACGGCUAACUACGUG